UGGGGAAUAUUGGACAAUGGGCGAAAGCCUGAUCCAGCCAUGCCGCGUGUGUGAAGAAGGUCUUCGGAUUGUAAAGCACUUUAAGUUGGGAGGAAGGGCAUUAACCUAAUACGUUAGUGUUUUGACGUUACCGACAGAAUAAGCACCGGCUAACUCUGUGCCAGCAGCCGCGGUAAUACAGAGGGGGCAAGCGUUAAUCGGAAUUACUGGGGGUAAAGCGCGCGUAGGUGGUUUGUUAAGUUGGAUGUGAAAUCCCCGGUCUCAACCUGGGAACUGCAUUCAAAACUGACUUACUAGAGUAUGGUAGAGGGUGGUGGAAUUUCCUGUGUAGCGGUGAAAUGCGUAGAUAUAGGAAGGAACACCAGUGGCGAAGGCGACCACCUGGACUAAUACUGACACUGAGGUGCGAAAGCGUGGGGAGCAAACA
rnacentral:rRNA from 1 species